GACGAACGCUGGCGGCGUGCUUAAUACAUGCAAGUCGAACGAUCCCGAGCUUCGGCUCAAUGGGAGAGUGGCGAACGGGUGAGUAUCACGUGAGAAACCUGCCUCGGAGAUGGGGAUAGCCCAGGGAAACCUGGAUUAAUACCCAAUAUGCUGACAGCACCGCAUGGUGCAGUCAGGAAAGGUUCCGGCGCUCCGGGAGGGUCUCGCGGCCUAUCAGCUUGUUGGUGAGGUAACGGCUCACCAAGGCAUCGACGGGUAGCUGGUCUGAGAGGACGAUCAGCCACACUGGGACUGAGACACGGCCCAGACUCCUACGGGAGGCAGCAGUAGGGAAUCUUGCGCAAUGGGCGAAAGCCUGACGCAGCAACGCCGCGUGGGGGAAGAAGGCUCUCGGGUCGUAAACCCCUUUCAGCAGGGACGAAAAUGACGGUACCUGCAGAAGAAGGACCGGCCAACUACGUGCCAGCAGCCGCGGUAAUACGUAGGGUCCGAGCGUUGUCCGGAUUUAUUGGGCGUAAAGAGCUCGUAGGCGGUUUGGUAAGUCGGGUGUGAAAACUCAGGGCUCAACCCUGAGACGCCACUCGAUACUGCCAUGACUAGAGUCCGGUAGGGGAAUGUGGAAUUCCGGGUGUAGCGGUGAAAUGCGCAGAUAUCAGGAGGAACACCAACAGCGAAGGCAGCAUUCUGGGCCGGUACUGACGCUGAGGAGCGAAAGCAUGGGGAGCAAACAGGAUUAGAUACCCUGGUAGUCCAUGCCGUAAACGUUGGGCACUAGGUGUGGGUCCCAUCCAACGGGAUCCGUGCCGCAGCUAACGCAUUAAGUGCCCCGCCUGGGGGGUACGGCCGCAAGGCUAAAACUCAAAGGAAUUGACGG
rnacentral:rRNA from 1 species